AUAUGCACUUACCAAUACAAUGAAAAAAAUGGAUUGGUAAUGCACCGGAUCCCAUCAUAACUUUGCAGUUAAGCGUGCUUGGGCGAGCGUAGUACUAGGAUGGGUGACCUCCUGGAAGUUCUCGUGUUGCACCCC
rfam:Corchorus olitorius cultivar O-4 contig11528, whole genome shotgun sequence.